rnacentral:rRNA from 1 species
CCUACGGGUGACAGCAGUGGGGGAUAUUGCACAAUGGAGGAAACUCUGAUGCAGCGACGCCGCGUGAGGGAAGACGGUCUUCGGAUUGUAAACCUCUUUCCGUGGGGGAAGAAAAUGACGGUACCCUAAGAGGAAGCUCCGGCUAACUACGGGCCAGCAGCCGCGGCAAUACGCGGGGAGCGAGCGUUGUCCGGAAUUACUGGGUGUAAAGGGAGCGUAGGCGGUCGAGAAAGUUGAAUGUUAAAUCUACGGGCUUAACUGGUAGCUGCGUUCAAAACUGCUUGUCUUGAGUGAAGUAGAGGCAGGCGGAAUUCCUAGUGUAGCGGUGAAAUGUGUAGAUAUUAGGAGGAACACCAGUGGCGAAGGCGGCCUGCUGGGCUUUAACUGACGCUGAGGCUCGAAAGCGUGGGGAGCAAACAGGAUUAGAUACCCCGGUAGUC